rnacentral:rRNA from 1 species
AUUGAACGCUGGCGGCAUGCUUUACACAUGCAAGUCGAACGGUAACAGGGAGCUUGCUCCGCUGACGAGUGGCGAACGGGUGAGUAAUGCAUCGGAACGUGCCGUGUAGUGGGGGAUAACGUAGCGAAAGUUACGCUAAUACCGCAUACGAUCUACGGAUGAAAGCGGGGGAUCGCAAGACCUCGCGCGAAUGGAGCGGCCGAUGUCAGAUUAGGUAGUUGGUGGGGUAAAGGCUCACCAAGCCAACGAUCUGUAGCUGGUCUGAGAGGACGACCAGCCACACUGGAACUGAGACACGGUCCAGACUCCUACGGGAGGCAGCAGUGGGGAAUUUUGGACAAUGGGCGCAAGCCUGAUCCAGCCAUUCCGCGUGCAGGAUGAAGGCCUC